rnacentral:rRNA from 1 species
AUUAUCGAAUGAACAUGGAGUCGGUUGUCGCUGGCCCCCCCUUUACCGGGGGGGCAUGUGCACGCCUUCUCUAUUCAUCCACACACACCUGUGAACUUGUGAGACGGAUAGUAGUCCUCUUAAGGGGGGACGAGGUCCGUCUGCUAAUACAUAAACUCUAAUAAAUAUAAAUUCGAAUGUCAUUUGAUGUAACGCAUCUAUAAACUAAGUUUCAACAACGGAUCUCUUGGCUCUCGCAUCGAUGAAGAACGCAGCGAAAUGCGAUAAGUAAUGUGAAUUGCAGAAUUCAGUGAAUCAUCGAAUCUUUGAACGCACCUUGCGCUCCUUGGUAUUCCUCGGAGCAUGCCUGUUUGAGUAUCAUGAAAUCCUCAAAAUAAAUCUUUUGUUCUUUCGAUUGAUUUUUAUUUUGGACUUGGAGGUCUUGCAGAUUCACGUCUGCUCCUCUUAAAUUUAUUAGCUGGAUCUCGAUGAGCUCGGUUCCACUCGGCGUGAUAAGUAUCACUCGCUGAGGACACUGUAAAAAGGUGGCCGGGAUUAUUUAAAGAACCGCUUCUAAGGUCUAUUAGCUUAGACAAAUUAAUUAUGAUCUGAUCUCAAAUCAGGUAGGACUACCCGCUGAACUUAA